rnacentral:rRNA from 1 species
GAUGAACGCUGGCGGCGUGCCUAAUACAUGCAAGUCGAGCGAACAGACGAGGAGCUUGCUCCUCUGACGUAGCGGUGGACGGGUGAGUAACACGUGGAUAACCUACCUAUAAUGCUGGGGUAACUUCGGGAAACCCGGUCUAAUACCCGAUAAUAUAUUGAACCGCCUGGUUCCAUUGUGAAAGGCCGUUUUGCUGUCCCUUAUAGUUGGAUUCGCUCCGCAUUAGCUUGUUGGUAAGGUAACGGCUUACCAAGGCAACGAUGCGUAGCCGACCUGAGAGGGUGAUCGGCCACACUGGAACUGAGACACGGUCCAGACUCCUACGGGAGGCAGCAGUAGGGAAUCUUCCGCAAUGGGCGAAAGCCUGACGGAGCAACGCCGCGUGAGUGAUGAAGGUCUUCGGAUCGUAAAACUCUGUUAUUAGGGAAGAACAAAUGUGUAAGUAAAUAUGCACGUCUUGACGGUACCUAAUCAGAAAGCCACGGCUAACUACGUG